AUUAGGGUAAAACAUGUUUUACAUGUUCUCGCAACGCAAUCGUCGACUUGGGGGAUGCAGCAAUAAUGAUUUCUACAGAUACGGGUUACGUUUCAAAGAAAGCCAUCGACAGAAUGGUUUUUCUUUCACUUAAUACAAAUUAAUACCGAAGGACCAGCUGGAAUUAGCCAAUACAAGUUUUUUUUUUCAAAGUUCCAUGUUAAAAAAGAUAUAAUAAAAAAGAUGUCUGAUUGUGAUUAUUAUUAGCACUUAAUUAUUGUGCCAUAAUUUUUAAGGGGGGCUUAUAAGGGUUGUUAUCCAGUGUUGCUUUUCCCCUGAAUUAAAGCACAGAACCCCUUGAAGAACUGCCGCUGACAUUUUCAUUUCAUUUGACAGUUUUUUCAUGGCCAAGCAAGACCAAGAUAAAUGUUAUCUUAUUUUAUGUUUGGAUACGGCUCUCCCUUUUUAAAAAACUCGAAAAUCUUAGUAGCCCUAUUCUUUGGUAGAUCAGGCAUAUUCGAAAUGGGAUUUUCCUCAGUCUGUUUCCAUUCCUGUUCCCGUAAACAUCUAUAUUUUUUGUUAAAUUUUCGUUCUAUGUUCCUAUCGUAGUAUGCCCUGCCAGGUAUAAUCAAAAGAAAGAAAGAGUUACCCAAAACCAGAGCCGGCACCUGUUUCCGUGAAGAAGUGGCGAAUAUUCGGCGACAGGAUGUGUGGUGGCGGCUGUUAUCCUUGCUGCAGCCCCUGCUGUGGUCCCUGCUGCAAUCCAUGCUGCAGCCCCUGCUGUGGGCCCUGCUGCAGUCCAUGCUGUAGCCCCUGUUGCUCGCCCUGCUGUUCACCGUGCUGCUCCCCCUACUGCUAUCCAUGCUGUUAUCCCUGUGGAGGCUGUGGUCCGGGCUGUUGCUGAUGUUCCACGGCCACUUCUUUAGAAAGAAAUCCAGGUGCUGGGUUCUGGUUCAGCCAAAUUGAUGGAUGGAAACAGCUAUGCAAUAGAAUCAAAGCAAGAAAUACUGUAAAACCAUAAAAAAAAGCCAAUUUAGUCUUAGUCUUAGGAUACAAACAUAACAAGGAGUACAGAAAAUCAACAAAAAAAGAAUAAAUGCAAUACGUAAAAUGUUUAAAA